rnacentral:rRNA from 1 species
AUUAGAUAAAAAGCCAAUGCCCUUCGGGGCUCUUUGGUGAUUCAUGAUAACUUAACGGAUCGCAUGGCCUUGCGCCGGCGACGGUUCAUUCAAAUUUCUGCCCUAUCAACUUUCGAUGGUAAGGUAUUGGCUUACCAUGGUUUCAACGGGUAACGGGGAAUUAGGGUUCGAUUCCGGAGAGGGAGCCUGAGAAACGGCUACCACAUCCAAGGAAGGCAGCAGGCGCGCAAAUUACCCAAUCCCGACACGGGGAGGUAGUGACAAUAAAUACUGAUACAGGGCUCUUUUGGGUCUUGUAAUCGGAAUGAGUACAAUUUAAACCCCUUAACGAGGAACAAUUGGAGGGCAAGUCUGGUGCCAGCAGCCGCGGUAAUUCCAGCUCCAAUAGCGUAUAUUAAAGUUGUUGCAGUUAAAAAGCUCGUAGUUGAACCUUGGGCCUGGCUGGCCGGUCCGCCUCACCGCGUGUACUGGUCCGGCCGGGCCUUUCCUUCUGGAGAUCCCCCAUGCCUUUCACUGGG